UAACGCGUGGGUGACGUACCUGUUGGUGGGGAAUAACUGCCCGAAAGGGUGGCUAAUUCCGCAUACGCCCGAUUCUUCGAUGAGUUGGGGAAAGCUUCGCAAGAGGCGCUGAUGGAGCGGCCCGCGUUCGAUUAGCUGGUUGGUGGGGUAACGGCCUACCAAGGCGACGAUCGAUAGCUGGUCUUAGAGGAUGAUCAGCCAGACUGGGACUGAGACACGGCCCAG
rnacentral:rRNA from 1 species